UCUGAAAAUGGUGCCCUGAGUGGACCAGACCUGGGGUAUUUGCGUGGACAGCUGAAAUCUACUCUUGACAGACUUUUCUCUCUUGGAAACGUAUUUAUUUGAUUUUCAAAAGUGGGCCCUUUGCUAUGCCCUCUAAGAUCUGGUGGCAACAGUGCGAUCUGAAGCCUACUGCUGAUGGCAUUUGGAGAGAAUGAAAAGCAUAGGUGUGGCAUCCCUUUUGAGUUGAUUCUCUUUCUCAUGGUUUCUGAGGGCCAUUGCUCUUCUUUGAGUGUCAUGGCCAAGUGACCGUACCCCCCCUCCCCAUCCCAUCAGCCUUCACUUCUUGAAGAUUUUCCUCACCAACUCACAGGAGUCGUAAUUUCCAGAACUCCUGCCGUAAUUAUAGUCAACAUUGGCAUUCUGGUGAGCGACCCAUCAAGCUUCAACUUAACAAAACCUCCUCAACCUCCAAAGCUUUGACUUCCAUUCUACAGGAGCAAGCCAUCUUCAGCCUCCUUCUCACCAAGAACAGCAUCAUUUCUGAAGUCGGAAACCCCGAUAUUAAAAUAAUCUCUGACCACCGCUUCUCAGCCAUCCGGCUUUCACCCACCACGCCCCACUGUGUCCUCUAUUCCCCAAGCCCCUGUCCCCUUCACUGCUCCCCUCUCUGCCCUGGCUGGAAGCAUCUCUACAACUAUUCUCCGACCUGGGCCUUCUUUUCCUCUACUGGUAUCAGCCUUCCAAGUUCUGACUUUGGUUAAAUGUAAAAUUGACAUUUUCUGUCUCAUACCUAGAUACUGAACGGUGUGGGAGGAAAUCACAGGUUGAUACUAUGUAUUUUUGGUCCCCAAAUCUCAGUGAGACCCUCAAGGCAGCCCCCUUUGCUGCUUCUAAGGAGCUGUCUCACUUUCUUCAUUUUCCCUAAAGUCCCAACGUCCUUGCUGCCUUCUUUGUCAGCAGACAACAUCACCUCGUGUUUCGCAGUGGAAAACAGAAGCUUUCAGGCAUGAACCUCUCCGCUCUCAUUCCUCAGGGUCCCCACCUAUACCACGUGGCUGGCACGUACAGUAGGAUCUCAACUAGACGUAAGGAGGUUAUAUUAUACUGCGGCAGAACCAGGGUCAUUCUGUCAGAAUAUUGGGAAACAUAUCUUCGCAGUUACUUUUCUUUGGUUUUAUAGUUUUCCAUCUCUAGACAGUGUGGAAUAGCCCUGUACCAGGCACAGCCAACCCAAUGUAUCAUCAAGUGUCUCAUUCACGCGCAUAGAUGUUGAUUGAAUGGGUGAAGGAGGUGAAUGAACGAACGUGUGUGAUAAACAGUUCCUGAAAUGAAUUAGUAAAUGAAGAAGUAUAAGAAAAGUAUUCUGGCCAGAAGGACCUUAUAAUCUCAAAACAUCAGAACAAGAUAUUAUAUAAUAAAGUUUUGAAUUGUAUGGAAUGGAAAACUAGAGAUAGGGUAAUAUAUAAGAAGGUGCUGAUUUUAUAGUCCAAGUUCAGCAAAUUGGACAGGAAGGUUUUUAAAUUCUUUUUAUUGUUUAUGUUUUUUUUAAUACAAGAGAGGUCACAGCCCCAAGCAUUGCAUGGCUUAAAUUCUCAUUAUAUCUCAGGAAAGAAAGAAAGAAUGACUAUUCAUAUUGCUGAAGGAUAGGAGUGUUGAGUCAAGAGAUUUAAUGUAAUAUAGAGAGAAAAGGGGAAUCCCUUCUAGGCAUUAGGGCCAAAGAAAAGCCAUAAAUAAACGAAUUAGGGUGGAGCAGUGAAAAUUACAUCUAGGGAAUGACAAUAAGACCAGUUGAACAGGAACAGUAAAUGUAAUUGUGUGUGAGAGUGUAUGAUUGGCGGGGUGCAAGCUGGGCACAGAAAUUUCAACUUAGGGACUAGUUUGUUAGAAAUUCAUUAAUACUAUUAGGAACCACUUUAGAGGAAAUGCUAAGAUGCUCUUAUAUUGCAAGAAAAACACUUUUACUUAUGAUUCUGUGCUCACAGCUUGCAAGAAUAAGUCACUCUUCUUGUCUGAUCAUUAGCGAAUACUCAGUGUCCUUAAUAAUCAUUCAAGAAACUUGCAGAUUGCCUACCAGUUGCAAGCUAAUGCCCUAGAUGUUUUGGGAGAUAUAAAGAUGUAUUUAAAAAGCCUUGUGGUGGGGGAGGGAAGGAAUGCAUAAACAGUUUGGAAUACAUGAACACCUGACUUAUGAAUAGUUAAUGCUGAUAUGUUAUCACCACCAGGGGGCGAAUCCCGUCCGUUUGCGAAUACAUGAUGCUGCCAGAGGGAAGGAAACAGUGUUUCUACCACAGCCAGAGUCAAAAGAAAAAUCCCUGAUCUGCUUCCCAGAGUCAGAGAAGAUAGUAAAAGUCUCUCCUUUUGCCAAUGGCACAUUUAAAUAAGUGUCUAACAUGAAAUCUACUUUUUCCAGGAUGGUUCCAAAAGCAUAUAUUUUAACUAGUCCUUGACGUAGUUAGAAAAAACAAAGCUGUUUUAUAUGUGUAUAUAUGUGUAAAACUAUAGUAUUAUUUGUCAUUUCCCAUGGAAAACGUUCCCCAGUACCAGUACAAAUUUUCAAAACUCAAUCCAUUUAUAUCAUAACUGCCUAUUACAUUACUUCAAGGCGUUCAGUAAUGCCAAAUGAGCAGAGGUAUGUAUUCACCCUUAAUAGUGCCCUAUCUGCUGAAAUCUAGAAUUACUUCUUAAGAAAA